UGUUCUGUAGCUUAAUUGGUUAAAGCACCGGUCUAGCGAAUGAGGAGUCGUGGGUUCAAAUCCCACCAGAAUGC
rnacentral:tRNA from 1 species